rnacentral:rRNA from 1 species
AGCAGCCGCGGUAAUUCCAGCUCCAAUAGCGUAUAUUAAAGUUGCUGCAGUUAAAAAGCUCGUAGUUGAAUUUCGGGACUAAUAUGUCGGUCGUGCCUCGGUACGUACUGGUAUUUUUGGUUUCUCCCUUCUGACGAACCUUGAUGUCAUUAAUUUGGUGUCUUGGGAAAUCAGGACUGUUACUUUGAAAAAUUAGAGUGUUUAAAGCAGGCUCACGCUUGAAUACAUUAGCAUGGAAUAAUGAAAUAGGACGUUUGAUUCUAUUUUGUUGGUUUCUAGGAUCGACGUAAUGAUUAAUAGGGAUAGUUGGGGGCAUUAGUAUUCAAUUGUCAGAGGUGAAAUUCUUGGGUUUAAUUGAAGACUUAACUACUGCGAAAGCAUUUGCCAAGGAUGUUUUCAUUAAUCAGGAACGAAAGUUAGGGGAUCGAAGACGAUCGGAUACCGUGUAGUCUUAACCAUAAACUAUGCCGACUAGGGAUCGGAUGAUGUUAAUUUUUUAAUGACUUCA